UACGGGGGGGGUAAGCGUUGUUCGGAAUUACUGGGCGUAAAGGGCUCGUAGGCGGCCAACUAAGUCAGACGUGAAAUCCCUCAGCUUAACUGGGGAACUGCGUCUGAUACUGGAUGGCUUGGAUUUGGGAGAGGGAUGCGGAAUUCCAGGUGUAGCGGUGAAAUGACGUAGAUAUCUGGAGGAACACCGGUGGCGAAGGCGGCGUCCUGGACCAAUAUUGACGCUGAGGAGCGAAAGCCAGGGGAGCAAAGCGGGG
rnacentral:rRNA from 1 species